AUUGAACGCUGGCGGCAGGCCUAACACAUGCAAGUCGAACGAGUGGCGGACGGGUGAGUAAUGUCUGGGAAACUGCCCGAUGGAGGGGGAUAACUACUGGAAACGGUAGCUAAUACCGCAUACCAUCGGAUGUGCCCAGAUGGGAUUAGCUAGUAGGUGGGGUAACGGCUCACCUAGGCGACGAUCCCUAGCUGGUCGGAGAGGAUGACCAGCCACAUUGGACCGGGGCCACGGUCAAGACUCCUACGGGAGGCAGCAGUGGGUAAUAUUGCACAAUGGGGGCAAGCCUGAUGCAGCCAGGCGGCGUGUAUGAAGAAGGCCUUCGGGUUGUAAAGUACUUUCAGCGAGGAGGCGUUACUCGCAGAAGAAGCACCGGCUAACUCCGUGCCAGCAGCCGCGGUAAUUC
rnacentral:rRNA from 1 species